UAAAUUGCAGCAGCCACAUUCCUAGUCCUUUUUGCCUGUUUAGGGCAGAGAGUAUAAUGUAAGACAAGCAUAAAAGAACCCAUUAGAUUCAACCGUGGGGGUAAUAAUUGAUCCUUCGCAGUUCCAGCAAACUCUGCUUGUGGGCGCGCGAAAGUUAAGGACAGGGGAUGAAACGGAAGAAGAAGCAGUAACAAGGCUAGUUGUUGAGACUUGAGAAUAGUUGUCCUGGCAAUAAUGAUGAACACACAGAACCUUUCUCGCCUAUCACUUCUAUAUUGGUCUUCAGCACCUCAGUUGCUGCUUGCGUAUCCAAUGUUUUCGGAAUUGCUUUCUAGCAAACUCUGCUUUUGGGCGCGCGAAAGUUAAGGACAGCGGAUGAAAUGGAAGAAGCAGUAACAAGGCUAGUUGUUGAGAAUAGUUGUCCUGGCAAUAAUGAUGAACACACAGAACCUUUCUCGCCCAUCACUUCUAUAUUGGUCUUCAGCACCUCAGCUGCUGCUUGCGGAUCCAAUGUUUUCGGAAUUGCUGUGGGUCAUUCAUCCCCUGCCGAGACUGGCAUUGUGGAUGAACUUGGCGUUACCACGUCUGAGGUGAGAACCAAGUUUUAAACAUUUUCCCUGCGUUCUGGCUUCUGGCUCGAGUCACCAAAUCAUCGAGCAAGAUAUUUUGUUUGUGCAUUAGAAGUGUGUUUGCUUAUCUAUUUGUAUUAUAUAAUUUUAUCUUGCUUACAUAAACAAAUACAGAAUUUAUAUAGUUCGGCUUCUUGUUUA